rnacentral:rRNA from 1 species
CCUACGGGGUGCAGCAGUGAGGAAUAUUGGUCAAUGGACGAGAGUCUGAACCAGCCAAGUAGCGUGAAGGAUGACUGCCCUAUGGGUUGUAAACUUCUUUUAUAUGGGAAUAAAAUGUUCCACGUGUGGGAUUUUGUAUGUACCAUAUGAAUAAGGAUCGGCUAACUCCGUGCCAGCAGCCGCGGUAAUACGGAGGAUCCGAGCGUUAUCCGGAUUUAUUGGGUUUAAAGGGAGCGUAGGUGGAUUGUUAAGUCAGUUGUGAAAGUUUGCGGCUCAACAGUAAAAUUGCAGUUGAAACUGGCAGUCUUGAGUACAGUAGAGGUGGGCGGAAGUCGUGGUGUAGCGGUGAAAUGCUUAGAUAUCACGAAGAACUCCGAUUGCGAAGGCAGUUCACUGGACUGCAACUGACACUGAGGCUCGAAAGUGUGGGUAUCAAACAGGAUUAGAUACCCUUGUAGUC